rnacentral:rRNA from 1 species
GACAGAGGGUGCGAACGUUGUUCGGAAUUACUGGGCGUAAAGCGCGUGUGGGCUGCUCGUAAAGUCGGAUGUGAAAGCCCUGGGCUCAACCUAGGAAGUGCAUUCGAUACUAACGAGCUUGAGUUCCGGAGAGGAAGGCGGAAUUCUCGGUGUAGAGGUGAAUUUCGUAGAUAUCGAGAGGAACACCGGUGGCGAAGGCGGCCUUCUGGACGGCAACUGACGCUGAGACGCGAAAGCGUGGGGAGCAAACAGG